UGCUUUUUAUGCUGAUUAUUUUUUCUGUUUGUUUUUCAUUCCAAACAGACCAUCCCUAAUAUUUUAUCUCACUUGGUGGAUUUUAGGAAAAUUUUAAGUGAAGAGAAAAAUUCUGGCUUCUCUCUCUUUCUUAAAAAGCUAACCUGUUAGAAUUGCAAUAUAAAAUUGUAAAUCAAUGGCAUCAAGCACCUGUGAAGAUGAGUAAGAUUGCAAGUCAUUUCUCAGAUAGAUUCAGAGAAACAGCUCCCAGCCAAGAACUCUUUUACAUGUUCUACAGGCUCUGUCCUAAAUUACUCCAAUAAAGUCACUUGUUAUACAUCAUAUUGAGAAAAUCUCCAGCUGUCUGAUGUCAAGUACUCAGAAACACUAUACAUAGGGACACUUGGACUUUGAGAGGAUACCAGAAGGAGGAGGAGGAUAUGUCUCAGUGUGUCAACCUGGUGGUUCAUGCUGCUCUGGGAGACUGAUGGUAGGUCUACUGCUGGAAAAGGGAUUAGACUGUUACCUAGAAGAAUGCAAAUAAAAGGAGUCAAAGAAUGGAUCAUAGAGAGGAGAAAUUCCAAGGAGAGGCACCUGCAUAGAUGAUGGCAUCACAGAGGUCAAAACAUCUUCUUGGGGCUCUGGAUUCAAAAAUGUGAGGCAAAAGCUAUAAGCUAGAAAGGAAAAUGGUGACUUCUUCACUUGGUGUCUUUGAGUCAAAAAUGGUUUCUAGAAGAUGCUUGCUCAUUUAUGAAUCAUGAGGCUUAAUUACAUAAAAUUGCUUGACCUGUGUUAUACCUCAGGUUAUGUUACCUAAAGGUAUCUUCUGACCUUAAAUUUUGUGAAUCUGCAUAAACUAGCUGUAAGGAAAGAACAGCAGAAUAUGAUGUUGUUCACUGAUUUGAAUUACAACAUGCAUUUGCAUCUUCAUUUGCAUUUACUGUCUUAAAAGUAACUGUACUGAAUGCAGUUGUUUGAUGGAGUUGUCACUGUGAGCCAAAAAGAGGUGAACGUGUGUUCUGAAUGACCAAGAUCACAUUCACAGGACUGAUGUUACCAGCAUAGCUCUAAAGAGUUGCCAGCCCUGACAGGCAUAGCUGUGUCAACAGAAGCCUCUGGUAGAGACACAGUUGUACCAGUAAAAUGGUAUUUUUACCAAUAAUAUUUUACGCCAGUGCUGGGAGAUGGUAUUAUUCUACUAGCAGACUGUAUACAUAUUAAACUGCUUAGGAUUUUAGUAUUCACAGCAAUUGAUUCCUAAACCAAUCAAUUUUGUUGGUGCUGCCAAAGAAGGGGCAUACAACUGGCCCUGGCAACUAUCAACUUCGUGCCACACAUGAUAGCAUUUAAUAAAGGGAGAAUACAGAGAGAGUCCUGGAGAAGUCCUGGCUAAAUCUGUU